UACGUAGGGUCCGAGCGUUGUCCGGAAUUAUUGGGCGUAAAGAGCUCGUAGGCGGCUUGUUGCGUCGGUUGUGAAAGCCCGGGGCUUAACCCCGGGUCUGCAGUCGAUACGGGCAGGCUAGAGUGUGGUAGGGGAGAUCGGAAUUCCUGGUGUAGCGGUGAAAUGCGCAGAUAUCAGGAGGAACACCGGUGGCGAAGGCGGAUCUCUGGGCCAUUACUGACGCUGAGGAGCGAAAGCGUGGGGAGCGAACAGG
rnacentral:rRNA from 1 species